rnacentral:rRNA from 1 species
UGGGGAAUUUUGGACAAUGGGCGAAAGCCUNAUCCAGCAAUGCCGCGUGUGUGAAGAAGGCCUUCGGGUUGUAAAGCACUUUUGUCCGGAAAGAAAUCCUUGGCUCUAAUACAGUCGGGGGAUGACGGUACCGGAAGAAUAAGCACCGGCUAACUACGUGCCAGCAGCCGCGGUAAUACGUAGGGUGCAAGCGUUAAUCGGAAUUACUGGGCGUAAAGCGUGCGCAGGCGGUUUGCUAAGACCGAUGUGAAAUCCCCGGGCUCAACCUGGGAACUGCAUUGGUGACUGGCAGGCUAGAGUAUGGCAGAGGGGGGUAGAAUUCCACGUGUAGCAGUGAAAUGCGUAGAGAUGUGGAGGAAUACCGAUGGCGAAGGCAGCCCCCUGGGGCCAAUACUGACGCUCAUGCACGAAAGCGUGGGGAGCAAACAGGAUUAGAUACCCUGGUAGUCCACGCCCUAAACGAUGUCAACUAGUUGUUGGGGGAUUCAUUUCCUUAGUAACGUAGCUAACGCGUGAAGUUGACCGCCUGGGGAGUACGGUCGCAAGAUUAAAACUUAAAUGAAUUGACGGGGUCAUAGCUG